GGGGGCGUAGCUCAGUCGGUUAGAGCGCCUGCCUGUCACGCAGGAGGUCGCGGGUUCGAGUCCCGUCGCUCCCGCCA
rnacentral:tRNA from 1 species